GUCAGAAAUUACUUAGGCUUCAUAAAACUCAAAGAUCUCCUACAUUUUCGAGUGACUGAUACCCUGGAAGUAUGUAAAUGGCUGUGUAUCACAAUCACGUAACUAGUUGUUCUGGAGAAUUCAGUGACGUUUUGUUGUUAGCUUGCUUGAAGUCUUUUUAGUUGAGCAGAAUUUAGAAGUACACUGAUGGUCACCAUCUGCAGACCUUUGUUUCACCAGAAUUCACCCAUCAGAAGUACUGCCAUGUGCCUUCCUUGUGAGAGCAAGCAGGAUGCAAAACUGGAUUGGAAACAAGAGCUCUCCAAACACAUUGCAGCCAUGCCAUGAAACUUACCAUGUAGAAAUGUAUAUGGAUGUAACCAAGAAAACCUGACUCCAUGUGGAACUGUAAAACCAGGGACAUGAAAUGGAAAAUUCUCUGUAAAUGUCAAGUCAAUGUUUUGUGGUGGCCAAAACAAGGUAUUGUCAUGAUAUUAAGAAAGGAACAGAAAACUAAAAUGUCACUGUAUAAAUCUC
rnacentral:lncRNA from 14 species